rnacentral:lncRNA from 1 species
CCCAUAGCAACAGGGAAGGCGUUCUGAUAAGAGGGAAACUGUAGCAUCUUGGCCUCCACCUCCAAGUCCACCCAGGUUAUUUAUAACCACGCUGAGCACGUGGCCACUUCCUUGUGUCUGAGUAUUCCACAUCGCCAGCCAUCAUUUCAGAGGUGCACUGUUAAUUAACUUGGGAGGGGGAGGGGACCACCCAGAAAGGAGGACUUUCUAGAAACAGCGCCGUGGGCCACCAGACUCCCGUGGGAAGCGUUUCCCCCGCACUGUAGAAUGCUGGGGCGUGGCCCUGCUGUGGGAAGGCAGGUCUAAGGUCAGCGGCCUCUCACUGAGGAGAGCCAGGUGGGCAGGGCCUAGCACAGACAGGAGGGUUUCAAACAUCCAGAGUGAGCUGCACAUCACCGUUCUGGCCGCCCACGACUGGAUUUCAGGGUUUUGGAUCAAUGAGCCAGGGGUAGGCACUGGAGGAAUCAAUACCUGGUCCCUGAGAGACAGCCCUCGGUGAUGGAUGGCCGACCAUAAGACAAAUCCUUUCUCCCCGGAGCUGCUUCUGGCUACAGCAUCUUAUCCCAGGCAUAGACACGAAACCAGGAUUCCCAGACGAGUCUGAGAGCAGCAGGGGCUCACUGAACAACAACUCUUCCAGGAAAAAAAAGAAUGAAGACUGCUUCCAGGAGGCGACAUCUCCGUCAGAGCAUAUAAGGACAGG